CCUACACGGGCCUCUUUCGCCUUCACACGGGCGAAAACGUCGUGGCUAUCGAUCCCAGCAUUUGCAAGCUAUUACGAUCCAAACUGGCUCAUCCAUGGCUUCGCAAGAUACAGGUGGGCCGUUGCCUAAAUUCGGCGAGUGGGAUGUGAAUAACCCUGCCUCGGCUGAAGGAUAUACAGUCAUAUUUAAGAGGGCUAGAGAUGAGAAGAAGACUGGCUAUGCUAACAUGGUAACUCCGAGGAAAUCUGAACCUACGUACAGGCAUGAAAGUUAUCCUCGUUACCCUCGAAAGAGCAAGUGGUUUUGCUGCGGUUAGAGCCUUGGAGCAUAACGUAUAAUCAAAAAGAUUGUAUAAGUCUUCUUCCAAGCAAUGCUGUGUGGAUCGUGCUCUUGCAAAUCUGGGGAGUGAAGUAUGGCUUACGGUCUUUUUUUUUUUUUUCAAAUUGAUUUUUCCGAUUACUUUUUCAUCUUCUCUGUGCUUGUGAAUUGAAGUUCUAUGCCAAAUUUAACAAGGAAACAAUACA